UACGAAGGGGGCUAGCGUUGCUCGGAAUCACUGGGCGUAAAGCGCACGUAGGCGGAUUGCUAAGUCAGGGGUGAAAUCCUGGAGCUCAACUCCAGAACUGCCUUUGAUACUGGCGAUCUUGAGUCCGGAGAGGUGAGUGGAACUGCGAGUGUAGAGGUGAAAUUCGUAGAUAUUCGCAAGAACACCAGUGGCGAAGGCGGCUCACUGGCCCGGUACUGACGCUGAGGUGCGAAAGCGUGGGAGCAACGGG
rnacentral:rRNA from 1 species